UUUAAGAGCAACCAUGCAUGAGUUUCCGUGCUCAAUUUUAAUCAUCCAUAUUAUUUGAAUUUUUUUUAUGAUUAGUAUUCUAUUGUUAUUAGAUGAUAGAACAUGAAUAGUACUUUAUGUGUGACUUAUGCUUUUAAUUUUGUUCAGAAAUUUUUCAAAUAAGACGAACAAUCAAAUUAAUUUGGGCACGAAAAAUCAUGAUUGCACUUAAA
rfam:Oryza meridionalis cultivar OR44 (W2112) chromosome 12, whole genome shotgun sequence.